UAUUGUAAUAAGAUUUUAAUUGAAUGCUAAAAGAAUGGAAUUUCAGGGAAAAACUGUUUUAAACUUAAAAAUUAAAUUUAUUUUAAUUUGUGAAGAAACAAUUAUUUAAAUUAAGGACAAGAAGACACUAAGAAUUUUAAAAAUAAUAAUUUUAAUAUUAAAAUUAUUAUUUUUUAGUUGGGGCAACUAAAAAAGAUUAUAAACUUUUUAUUUAAUAAAAUGAUCCAUUAUUAAUGAUAAUUUGAUAAAAAUACUCUAGGGAUAACAGCGUAAUAAUUUUUGAUAGAACAUAUAGACAAAAUAGUUUGCGACCUCGAUGUUGGAUUAGGAUACUUUUUUAAUGAAGAUGUUAAAAAAAGAAGUUUGUU
rnacentral:rRNA from 1 species